rnacentral:tRNA from 1 species
GGCCCGGUGGUGUAGCGGCAGCACAUUCCCAUCGUAACGCGCUUCCGAGCAACGAACCUGGAUGAGAUGUCGAGGUUGGAAAUGGCGUGGGUUCAAAUCCCACCCGGACCA